AAUACAAGAUAUAGUGUAUAAAGUAAGUGAAGGGGGAAAGCAGCCUCGGCUGCGUCAAUAGAUGAGCCUGCGCCCCAUUAGCUAGUUGGUAGGGUAAAGGCCUACCAAGGCGACGAUGGGUAGCCGGCCUGAGAGGGUGACCGGCCACACUGGGACUGAGACACGGCCCAGACUCCUACGGGAGGCAGCAGCUAAGAAUCUUCCGCAAUGGACGAAAGUCUGACGGAGCGACGCCGCGUGGGUGAAGAAGGCCGAGAGGUUGUAAAGCCCUUUUAUAGGUGAGGAAUAAUUUUAGGAGGCAAUGCCUAAGAGAUGACGUUAGCCUAUGAAUAAGCUCCGGCCAAUUCCGCUGCCAGCAGCCCGCGGUUAACACGUACCGAGCGAGCGUUGUUCGGAAUUAUUGGGCGUAAAGGGUGCGCAGGGCGGAUUAAUAAGCCUGGUGUGAAAUACCGCAGGCUUAACUGGCGGAAACCGCGCUGUGAACUGUUAAAUCUGGAGUUAUAGAGGGGGGUCUGGAAUUCCUGGUGUAGGGGGUGAAAUCUGGUGAUAUCAGGAAGAAUACCGGAGGCGAAGGCGAGACCCUGGCUAUAAACUGACGCUGAGGCACGAAAGCGUAGGGAGCGAACAGGAUUAGAUACCCUGGUAGUCUACGCUGUAAACGAUGUACACUUGGUGUCUGCCC
rnacentral:rRNA from 1 species